GCAGAGAUCAAAACUCGUACCUUUUGCAUCAUGAUUUAGCUAGAACCUUCAAGCAAAGAGAACUGGGAGUUUGAACCCCCGAAACUGGGUGAGCUACUCCAAGACAGCCUUUACUGUAGGGCAAACCCGUCUCUGUGGCAAAAGAGUGGGAAGAACUUUGAGUAGAAGUGACAGACUUACCGAACCCAGUAAUAGCUGGUUGCUCGUGAAUUGGAUAGAAGUUCAGCCCCCAACACUUUUUCCAAACUUGGGAGGUUAGUCAAAGGGGGUACAGCCCCUUUGAAACAAGAUACAACUUUUGCAGACGGAUAAAGAUCAUAUUUACCAAGGGUAAAUGUUCUAGUGGGCCUGAAAGCAGCCACCUUAAAUAACAGCGUUAAAGCUCAAACAUGAAAUACCGAUACCACCUCUAAACCCCCUAACACCUAACGAGCCGCCCCAUGCGCACAUGGGGACGACCAUGCUAAUAUGAGUAAUAAGAGGGAACUCUCUCCCUGCACGAGUGUAAGUCGGAUCGGACCUACCACCGAGCAUUAACGGCCCCAAUCAAAGAGGGCACUGGAAGUCGACUAGAAGAGCAUCCCCCGUUACCCCUACACUGGUGUGCGUCCUGGGAAAGACUAACCGGGGAAGAAGGAACUCGGCAAAUAAGCCUCGCCUGUUUACCAAAAACAUCGCCUCUUGCCAGUAUAAGAGGUCCUGCCUGCCCAGUGACAAAUUGUUCAACGGCCGCGGUAUUUUGACCGUGCUAAGGUAGCGUAAUCACUUGUCUUUUAAAUGAAGACCCGUAUGAAUGGCAAAACGAGGGCUUAACUGUCUCCUUUCCCAAGUCAAUGAAAUUGAUCUCCCCGUGCAGAAGCGGGGAUAACACCAUAAGACGAGAAGACCCUAUGGAGCUUUAGACAAACGACUGAACCGUAUUCCCUGGCCCCUUCUCACAGGAACUAAAUUUAAUGGACCCUCUUUCAAUGUCUUCGGUUGGGGCGACCAUGGGGAAAACAAAACCCCCAAGUGGAAUAGGGGUACCCCUUAAGGUAGAGCGACAGCUCAACACAACAGAAAUUCUGACCAAAAUGAUCCGGACAUUCCGAUCAACGAACCAAGUUACCCUAGGGAUAACAGCGCAAUCCCCUUUUAGAGUCCAUAUCGACAAGGGGGUUUACGACCUCGAUGUUGGAUCAGGACAUCCUAAUGGUGCAG
rnacentral:rRNA from 1 species